UACGUAGGUGGCAAGCGUUGUCCGGAAUUAUUGGGCGUAAAGAGCUCGUAGGCGGUUUGUCGCGUCGGCUGUGAAAUCGUGGGGCUCAACCCCGAGCCUGCUUCCGAUACGGGCAGACUAGAGGUAUGCAGGGGAGAAUGGAAUUCCUGGUGUAGCGGUGAAAUGCGCAGAUAUCAGGAGGAACACCGGUGGCGAAGGCGGUUCUCUGGGCAUGUCCUGACGCUGAGGAGCGAAAGUGUGGGGAGCGAACAGG
rnacentral:rRNA from 1 species